rnacentral:rRNA from 1 species
GACGAACUCUGGCGGCGUGCUUAACACAUGCAAGUCGAACGGAAAGGCCCUGCUUUUGUGGGGUGCUCGAGUGGCGAACGGGUGAGUAACACGUGAGUAACCUGCCCUUGACUUUGGGAUAACUUCAGGAAACUGGGGCUAAUACCGGAUAGGAGCUCCUGCUGCAUGGUGGGGGUUGGAAAGUUUCGGCGGUUGGGGAUGGACUCGCGGCUUAUCAGCUUGUUGGUGGGGUAGUGGCUUACCAAGGCUUUGACGGGUAGCCGGCCUGAGAGGGUGACCGGCCACAUUGGGACUGAGAUACGGCCCAGACUCCUACGGGAGGCAGCAGUGGGGAAUAUUGCACAAUGGGCGGAAGCCUGAUGCAGCAACGCCGCGUGCGGGAUGACGGCCUUCGGGUUGUAAACCGCUUUCGCCUGUGACGAAGCGUGAGUGACGGUAAUGGGUAAAGAAGCACCGGCUAACUACGUGCCAGCAGCCGCGGUGAUACGUAGGGUGCGAGCGUUGUCCGGAUUUAUUGGGCGUAAAGGGCUCGUAGGUGGUUGAUCGCGUCGGAAGUGUAAUCUUGGGGCUUAACCCUGAGCGUGCUUUCGAUACGGGUUGACUUGAGGAAGGUAGGGGAGAAUGGAAUUCCUGGUGGAGCGGUGGAAUGCGCAGAUAUCAGGAGGAACACCAGUGGCGAAGGCGGUUCUCUGGGCCUUUCCUGACGCUGAGGAGCGAAAGCGUGGGGAGCGAACAGGCUUAGAUACCCUGGUAGUCCACGCUGUAAACGGUGGGUACUAGGUGUGGGGUCCAUUCCACGGGUUCCGUGCCGUAGCUAACGCUUUAAGUACCCCGCCUGGGGAGUACGGCCGCAAGGCUAAAACUCAAAGGAAUUGACGGGGCCCCGCACAAGCGGCGGAGCAUGCGGAUUAAUUCGAUGCAACGCGUAGAACCUUGCCUGGGUUUGACAUGGAUCGGGAGUGCUCAGAGAUGGGUGUGCCUCUUUUGGGGUCGGUUCACAGGUGGUGCAUGGCUGUCGUCAGCUCGUGUCGUGAGAUGUUGGGUUAAGUCCCGCAACGAGCGCAACCCUUGUUCACUGUUGCCAGCACGUUAUGGUGGGGACUCAGUGGAGACCGCCGGGGUCAACUCGGAGGAAGGUGGGGAUGACGUCAAGUCAUCAUGCCCCUUAUGUCCAGGGCUUCACGCAUGCUACAAUGGCUGGUACAGAGAGUGGCGAGCCUGUGAGGGUGAGCGAAUCUCGGAAAGUCGGUCUCAGUUCGGAUUGGGGUCUGCAACUCGACCUCAUGAAGUCGGAGUCGCAAGUAAUCGCAGAUCAGCAACGCUGCGGUGAAUACGUUCCCGGGGCU